rnacentral:misc_RNA from 1 species
UACGUAGGGGGCAAGCGUUGUCCGGAAUUAUUGGGCGUAAAGGGCACGCAGGCGGUUCCUUAAGUCUGAUGUGAAAGCCCGUGGCUCAACCACGGAGGGCCAUUGGAAACUGGAAUACUUGAAUGCAGAAGAGGAAAGUGGAAUUCCAUGUGUAGCGGUGAAAUGCGUAGAUAUAUGGAGGAACACCAGUGGCGAAGGCGACUCUCUGGUCGGUUUCUGACGCUGAGGUGCGAAAGCGUGGGUAGCAAACAGG